rnacentral:misc_RNA from 1 species
UGGAAAUUGAGAAAUAACACUUCCAUGAUAAUUAGAAAAGAUAUGGGAGGACUAAUGUAAACCCUGACAUUAUGCUGUCCAUGUAGAUGCCUGGUAUUGCAUUUAUUCAGGAAGCGCCUCAAAAUCUUUCUGAAUUGCACAAGUGACUGGCAUCCUUUGGGUGCCUUUGUUAUAAAUUAUGGGGAAUGUCAAAUUCUCACCUUAGCAAACUUGUGAUACCUGAAAGUCCUAAAAAUAGUGAGACUGAUGUCAAAGGGAUGCAUUAUCUCAACCGAUUAAAGAAAAACAGCAGUUAGGGGAUCAUUGGGAAGGUCAGAUUAAAAGUUUAUUGGGUUAAAGUGGGUUUUGUAAGGAAAUGAGAAUGGAUAAGAAAGAACAGAAAAUACAAAAG